rnacentral:rRNA from 1 species
GUGCCAGCCGCCGCGGUAAUACGGAGGGUGCAAGCGUUGUUCGGAAUUAUUGGGCGUAAAGCGCGUGUAGGCGGUCUGUUAAGUCUGAUGUGAAAGCCCCGGGCUCAACCUGGGAAGUGCAUUGGAAACUGGCAGACUUGAGUACGGGAGAGGGUAGUGGAAUUCCGAGUGUAGGGGUGAAAUCCGUAGAUAUUCGGAGGAACACCGGUGGCGAAGGCGGCUACCUGGACCGAUACUGACGCUGAGACGCGAAAGCGUGGGGAGCAAACAGGAUUAGAUACCCUUGUAGUCC